ACACUGUUGGGACCGCCUCUGCUAAAGAGGAGGAAGGAAUGGGCAACGGUAGGUCAGCAUGCCCCGAAUUAUCCGGGCUACACGCGGGCUACAAUGGUCAGGACAAUGGGCAUCAAACACCGAAAGGUGAAGGCAAUCUACUUAAACCUGUCCUUAGUUCGGAUUGUGGGCUGCAACUCGCCCACAUGAAGCUGGAAUCUGUAGUAAUCGACGUCUCAAAAUGGCGCGGUGAAUAUGUCCCUGCCGUCCUU
rnacentral:rRNA from 1 species